UACGUAGGGGGCAAGCGUUGUCCGGAUUUAUUGGGCGUAAAGAGCGUGUAGGCGGCUUGGCAAGUCCGCUGUGAAAACUCGAGGCUCAACCUCGAGACGUCGGUGGAAACUGCCUGGCUAGAGUCCGGAAGAGGAGAGUGGAAUUCCGAGUGUAGAGGUGAAAUUCGUAGAUAUUCGGAAGAACACCAGUGGCGAAGGCGACUAACUGGACAUGUAUUGACGCUGAGGUGCGAAAGCGUGGGGAGCAAACAGG
rnacentral:rRNA from 1 species